UACAGAGGUCCCGAGCGUUGUUCGGAUUCAUUGGGCGUAAAGGGUGCGUAGGCGGCGGGGCAAGUCUGAUGUGAAAUCCCGGGGCUCAACCCCGGAACUGCAUUGGAUACUGCCUUGCUAGAGUACUGGAGAGGGAACUGGAAUUUACGGUGUAGCAGUGAAAUGCGUAGAGAUCGUAAGGAAGGCCAGUGGCGAAGGCGAGUUCCUGGACAGUAACUGACGCUGAGGCACGAAGGCCAGUGGAGCAAACGGG
rnacentral:rRNA from 1 species